rnacentral:lncRNA from 1 species
CUGCAGCACCAGGUCCUCUCCAGACACAAUUUGACUCUUGUGUUUGUGUCGGCGUAUAAACAGCACGUCACAUCUGCCUCCUCGGUCGCACGCAUGCUGACGUCAAUAAGCCACUAAGUCCUGAAGCAGUCCCCUGAUUUGGAAAGUCCUGUGCAAUCCAGUCCAGAGGCUCAGGUAAGGCAUGACUGUUCUGAUUCUCAUUGGGUGCAGGAAGGGUUAAAUUGCGUU